rnacentral:rRNA from 1 species
UACGUAGGGGGCGAGCGUUGUCCGAAGUUACUGGGCGUAAAGCGCGUGUAGGCGGGUCUUUAAGUGAGGGGUGAAAGGUUUGGGCUUAACCCAGACGCUGCCUUUCAUACUGGAGACCUUGUGUGCGGGAGAGGCGAGUGGAAUGGUCGGUGUAGCGGUGAAAUGCGUAGAUAUCGAUCGGAACACCCAUGGCGAAGGCAGCUCGCUGGCCUGUAACUGACGCUGAGACGCGAAAGCGUGGGGAGCAAACAGG